rnacentral:siRNA from 1 species
GAUAGGUGUGUAUGUGAG